rnacentral:rRNA from 1 species
AUUGAACGCUGGCGGCAGGCCUAACACAUGCAAGUCGAACGAGUGGCGGACGGGUGAGUAAUGUCUGGGAAACUGCCUGAUGGAGGGGGAUAACUACUGGAAACGGUAGCUAAUACCGCAUACCAUCAGAUGGGCCCAGAUGGGAUUAGCUAGUUGGGGGGGUAACGGCUCACCAAGGCGACGAUCCCUAGCUGGUCUGAGAGGAUGACCAGCCACACUGGAACUGAGACACGGUCCAGACUCCUACGGGAGGCAGCAGUGGGGAAUAUUGGACAAUGGGCGAAAGCCUUAUGCAGCCAUGCCGCGUGUAUGAAGAAGGCCUUCGGGUUGUAAAGUACUUUUAGCGGGGAGGCGUUACCUGCAGAAGAAGCACCGGCUAACUACGUGCCAGCCGCCGCGGUAAUUC